UUUAUGGAGAGUUUGAUCCUGGCUCAGGAUGAACGCUGGCGGCGUGCCUAAUACAUGCAAGUCGAGCGAACGGACGAGAAGCUUGCUUCUCUGAUGUUAGCGGCGGACGGGUGAGUAACACGUGGAUAACCUACCUAUAAGACUGGGAUAACUUCGGGAAACCGGAGCUAAUACCGGAUAAUAUUUUGAACCGCAUGAUUCAAAAGUGAAAGACGG
rnacentral:rRNA from 1 species